rnacentral:tRNA from 1 species
AACAAAGAAGUAAAAUAUUACAUUUAGUUUCGACCUAAAAAUAAGAUUUAAAUCUCAUGUUU